CUCCACUAAAGUAGACUGGAGUGGAGCCUGAACUCACCAGUAGAGUUUUUCUAAUGGCAAAGCCUGUGCUUUCUGUGACUACGAUACAGAGGCCUGUUGAUGAAGGCCUCUCCUCAUGGUCAUUGCUACAGGAAGGGAUGGUCUUGGGGCUGUUCCCUCCCAUCCUUGUCCAAGCAUAGCUUUUUCUACUCCUGAGAGUCCUCAGACUGGCCUGACCUAUAGUUAGAUGGCAGGACCUCUGAGGCAACUAUUCCUGUACCCUCAGACAUCAGGCUCCAAAGUCUUUCAUAAAAGCAGCUCUUAGUCUUCCUCUAAUUCUUUCCUGUCUCCUUCCUAUAAGCCCCAGGACUUAAAAAGAAACAAACAACCUGGCAAAAAAAAAAAGCUUUCCCUUUGCUGCCUCAGUCUAAAAUUAAUUCUGUAGUGAAAAUAGACAUCUAGCUCAUAAGAUCAGAAAACAGCAAGACCCUGAAAUUCCAUUUCGGACCCAGCUGGGGCGUUUUUCUCUUACAAGUGAAACUCUCUCCACGUGUGUCUUCCACACAGCGAAGUAAUGGCAAACCCAGGGCAACAACCUGAACAUUUAGAUCCCAUGGGACAAGUAAAACCACCAGGAGAAGGGGAAUGAACUCCAAGAAACUAAAUCAAUGAUCUCUGUCCAACCCCACAGCACAUUCCGGCAUUUGCACUGUGCCGUGGACGCCGCUGCAUUGUGCAUGCUCCAGGCUAUGUUUGUGGACAGUCACGUCGCCGCGGAAGUCAAGCUCAUUUGUCAUCCUUGCUAGGCACUUGCAGGGCUGCCUGAAGAGAAAAAUAUCUGAAAGCAGGCAGUGACGAAGGUAAAGAAGAGACUCAGGAGUGGAAGGGCAGAAGGGGGCUGUGGGGGUGGAUGUACGGAACCAGGCAUAUCUGAGUCCCUGGAAGGACAGGCUCCUGCGUCAUAAUUCUGCUUCUGAUGGGAGGCCUUCGCAGUGACAAACCUGGGCCUUCUGGCUCUCCGUAUGUCUUAGACCUCAUUUUGAAACAGGUUAUUGCAGUAAUGGCCCCCGAUUUGUCCACAUCUCCCCGUAUCCACACCCUUAGGUAAUCCUUUCCACACUGACUCGGAGCUGGGAUGGUAGCAAAUACGAUUCAAGCAGAGACUUGAAAAGGGCUUGUGGGUUGGGGCUUACUUACUUGUUUCUCUUGGAACUCCGUGACUCUCAUGUGAAUAAGCCUGGAAUAAACUCCUCUAAAAUGAGAGACCACAUAGAGAGAGAGGCCCUUAUCAUCCCAGCCAUCCCAUCCGAAGCCUUCAUAAACCAGCCAACUCUAGACAACUCAUCAGUCUCAGCAAUAAACCCAGUUAGGAACAGCCAGGCCAGGCCCAGAGCAGAAGAAUUGCCCAGUUGAGCUCAGCUCCAAGGUACUGAGCUGCACACUUGUGUGCUGAAUAAGUGACAUGGUGCGUUACAAGGCAAAAGAUAACUGAUAAAUGCCUUAAUACUUGGCUUGCCUAUCCAUUUCAGAAAUAAUUCCAAUUCAGUCUUUCAUGAAUGUUUUCACGGUUUCAUUUGGAAAAUUCUGCUCUAAAAAUUAUAAAGGGGUGAAAAUAUAAGGCAACUUAGUAUACUAUCACCAUUUGAGAAGGGUAUUUUCUAAAACAGUCUCUCCUAGUAACUUUCAGAGGUAUUUGUGAGGUGAAAUGAGAGUGGGGAAGAGACUUCUAAAAUCACGUUGCUAAAAGAAAGUGGCAUCGCUUAGCAGCAACAUUUCAAAACCAGAGAAUCUUCAAAUAUUCUAGCUUAUCCACAUAUUUGUGUAUCACAAAUGUGAUAUGAUGGACAUUUUCACUGUUGCAGGAAAAUCAGCCCUGACUCUCUUGUCUCGUACUUAAAUAUGAUUCUUAAUGGACCUACAUUUCAAACUCCUGGAUCCCUUCUCAAGCUCCAAGUGCCUUAAGUUUGAGUUGACGUGGCGAGUGUGGGAGAAAGUAAGAAACAUUAAAUACUUGCAAUUUACACUUUGGGAGUUUCCAAAAUUCAACUCAUUCAUUUUUUUUUCCAGCAAAUAUUUUAUUGAGUGUCUGGUCACCACCUUGUGUGCUGCUCUGAAAACCUGCUAUAACUGCACAAAGGUGGCAGAGCACAUUGCUCUUAAUUCCCAUGGCUUUCUUGGGAAACUGUACACUACCACUGCAGUCACAAUAUGGUCUUCCUCUCUUCCCAGCCACCCCCACCAUAAAGCUACCUGAAAUAAGGGCACAUUACAUAUUUUCUGAUGGUCUUUCCUCUGUAGAGAAAUGUAGAUCCUGGAUAAAGACCCUUGGCAAGGACCUUUUUCCUCUGCCUGAUAUUUGUAUUCAAGCAAAAUAAUGAUAGUAAGAGUAAGCAUUUAGAAAGUGUUGACUAUGUAGCCUAGCACUGCUCCGACACUUUACGUUUAUUAAUAGACGACUGAGGCUAGCUUUGAUCAAUAAAAUCACGUGAGUAGGCACAUUUGCCACUCGGUGGUACAAGAAGGAGUCCCUAUGGCAUCGCAUGACUGUCCAUGGAGUUUCCAGAGAGGUGAUAACUGAUGCUGUGAACUCCUGGUUUCCAGGAAACGGCUCUAAGCUUGUCUCUAAGGUAUCUAAACAAAUAUUUUAUUAUCUUCUGGGAAUUCUGAUCCUGCAACCUAAAUCAAAGAUCCCAAACACUAAAUCAAAUUUUUGUGGCCUUCAAAGCUUAAUAUGAAAAUUACCAGUGAUGUUUUUCUUCCCCCAUAAUAUGACAUUAGGAGCUUAGUAAUGCAUAUCUAGAUGUGAGUUGACAUUUACACUUGUUAUUUGUUGGGAAGGAUGAGUAUGCUUCAUAAUUUAUAUGUAUCAAAUAUCUUCAUUUGUGUAAAUCAAAGAGUUACUAAUAAAAAUGCUAAGAGAAGCUGGA
rnacentral:lncRNA from 1 species